AGUGAACGCUGGCGGUAGGCCUAACACAUGCAAGUCGAACGGCAGCACAGUAAGAGCUUGCUCUUACGGGUGGCGAGUGGCGGACGGGUGAGGAAUACAUCGGAAUCUACUUUUUCGUGGGGGAUAACGUAGGGAAACUUACGCUAAUACCGCAUACGACCUACGGGUGAAAGCAGGGGAUCUUCGGACCUUGCGCGAUUGAAUGAGCCGAUGUCGGAUUAGCUAGUUGGCUGGGUAAAGGCCCACCAAGGCGACGAUCCGUAGCUGGUCUGAGAGGAUGAUCGGCCACACUGGAACUGAGACACGGUCCAGACUCCUACGGGAGGCAGCAGUAGGGAAUAUUGGACAAUGGGCGCAAGCCUGAUCCAGCAAUACCGCGUGGGUGAAGAAGGCCUUCGGAUUGUAAAGCCCUUUUGUUGGGAAAGAAAAGCAGCAGGUUAAUACCCCGCUGUUCUGACGGUACCCAAAGAAUAAGCACCGGCUAACUUCGUG
rnacentral:rRNA from 1 species